GGGAGAAGCUGAGAUAAGGGAUCUGGAAGGUGCUCUCGUGCAGGUGGAAGUGGAGACAGCUGAAGCUGCUGAAAUGGAUGCUGAAGCUUCAGAUGCCUUGUCCUUUGCUUGAAGCUCCUAGCAGGCUCCUAGCAGCAUGGCCAGGCGGGCCUGGGACAUCGAGCUAGAGCGGCUGGUGCGCGCCGCGCCGCUGGCAGGCGGGGCCCGCUCCCCUCCCGGCCCCGGCGGGGCUCUAGAGCAGCUCCCCAAUGUCCCCAGCUAUCGAGGCGCCGCUGCCACCCCCGUCCCUGCCACCAGCGAGCCACAGGCUGGAGUGGCCAACCCCAAUUUUUGCACUGAGGAGCAGC